rnacentral:rRNA from 1 species
AUUGAACGCUGGCGGCAGGCCUACCACAUGAAAGUCGAACGAGUGGCGGACGGGUGAGUAAUGUCUGGGAAACUGCCUGAUGGAGGGGGAUACCUACUGGAAACGGUCGCUAAUACCGCAUCCCAUCCGCUGUGCCCAGAUGGGCUUAGCUUUUUGGUGGGGUAACGGCUCACCAAGGCGAAGAUCCCUAGCGGGUCUGAGAGGAUGACCAGCCACACUGGAAAUGAGACACGGUCCAGAAUCCUACGGGAGGCAGCAGUGGGGAAUAUUGCACAAUGGGCGCAAGCCUGAUGCAGCCAGGCCGCGUGUAUGAAGAAGGCCUUCGGGUUGUAAAGUACUUUCAGCGGGGAGGCGUUACCCGCAGAAGAAGCACCGGCUAACUCCGUGCCAGCAGCCGCGGUAAUUC